GAGAUAAAUAGUUGGGAGCUAGAGCUCGCUAGAGAGUCUAAGAUUGAGCUAAAUAUUUCCUGAUCUCUCGAGAAAGGGGGAGGGGAGUGGGAGGAUUAAAUGUUCCUUCCUUCAGGGCAGUGGUUAGGCUUUCUCUCCACCAAAAUCUAACUUUAGCUGUAAAGAAGACUGCAGUUAUGUAGUACUUUGUAUCCAGGGAUCUCAAAGAACUUUACGCAUCAUUUAUUGUGAACCUUGUUUUGCAAAGAUUUCAGUUACUUGAGGCUUGGGAGGCGGAUAGGGGAUAAAUGUCUGAGUUAUAUAUAUAUUUACGCAAGUAAUCGAGUUUGAGGGGAGAGACACAAAACCUCUGGUUUAGCGGUUUCCUCUUGUUUGUGAAGCACCUUCUAGCAGUUAUCUUAGAGAUGUCUCCAGCGUACCAGGAUUUGUGAAGGCCUGAAGUUCGUAGAAUGAAAUCUAUGUGGAGAUGAUUUAAAAGAACGGUUUCACUGAGACCAACACAUAUAAACCAAGUCUACACAAGAAACAAAGCUAAAAUCCUUUCGAAAUGAGUUCCUUUAAGUUCUUCAGUAACUAAAUCCUCCAGAAAGGAAAGCCGAGAGAAUCUAGUCCUAUACAAUAACACCCUCUAACAAAGAUCGCUAAAGGAAGAUUUUAGUAGAUGAAUAUCUUCAAUAAUACAUGGUCACAUACAUGUAUCUGACCAUAUGAUGGCUCUCUGCACCAAAUUCCUCCAAACUAUUAUAAUAUGUAUUGUCUGUAGUGCUAUUUAUUUGGCAGUUAAUCAUGUAUUACAUUGUGACAUUUCUUACAGUGAACCAUUAUGUAUGUGUUUAUGUUCUGCCCUCAACUACUCAAUGCCAGUACCUUAUUCUUAACACAGCAACCACCCUUUCUGGUCUGUCCUCACACCCUCAUUCCCAUCAUAGUUAUUCUCCUCUCUCAUGGAAAUGUUCAGUUUCUGGACAUCUCCUUUCUCUUCCAUUCUUCACCUGACCUUCCUUCCUUUCUUGGCCAGCCUGAAUAUUAUAAAGGGAAUUUUAUUUCAAACCCAGGAUCGCACUUAAGAGGAAAAGAAACAAAAGCCAGUUCUUUUUAUUGCACAUAGAACAAGGAGAAACUCCACCCCUUUUGUUGUCUGGUAUGUUUAAAACAAGAAAGAACUUUAGAAAAGUAGGAUAUGAGUGAAAAUUACAACCAAUGUUGAGAACUACUUUUUAAUUUUUUAUUACAAAAUUAGGAUGAUACUUCAUUAAACAUUGUACAUCAUUUCAAAACUGUUAUCUCAUAAUCAUGUUGCUUGUUUUGAAUUAUUCUUUUAAAGUGUAAUUUUUUUAAGCAAAGAAUCCAUAAAAUUACAUGGCUUGGAUGUACCAUAACUUACUUAAUCCUUAUGCUAUUGUUUAAUAUGUGGGUUGUUUCAGAUUUUUCAUGAUUGUAAAUAACAAAAUAAACUUCCUUAUACUUAA
rnacentral:lncRNA from 1 species